GUUUGCACUUGUCGGGGAAGGGUGAGAACCUUCGAUUAAGGUUCGACUCGAGCGAAAGAACGUUGCCAACGGUAACGGCCCGUAGGGUGAGGAGUGAAGCGACGCGCGCAGCGCUGAGUCAUCCUUCCCCCACCACCA
rnacentral:sRNA from 1 species